GCUGGCGGCAGGCUUAACACAUGCAAGUCGAACGCACCGCAAGGUGAGUGGCAGACGGGUGAGUAACGCGUGGGAACCUUCCCUGUGGUACGGAAUAACUUCGGGAAACCGAAGCUAAUACCGUAUAUCCCCUCCGGGGGAAAGAUUUAUCGCCAUAGGAUGGGCCCGCGUUGGAUUAGCUAGUUGGUAGGGUAAUGGCCUACCAAGGCAACGAUCCAUAGCUGGUCUGAGAGGAUGAUCAGCCACACUGGGACUGAGACACGGCCCAGACUCCUACGGGAGGCAGCAGUGGGGAAUAUUGGACAAUGGGCGCAAGCCUGAUCCAGCCAUGCCGCGUGAGUGAAGAAGGCCUUAGGGUUGUAAAGCUCUUUUGGCGGGGACGAUAAUGACGGUACCCGCAGAAUAAGCCCCGGCUAACUUCGUGCCAGCAGCCGCGGUAAUACGAAGGGGGCUAGCGUUGUUCGGAAUCACUGGGCGUAAAGCGCACGCAGGCGGAUUGAUAAGUCAGGGGUGAAAUCCCGGGGCUCAACCUCGGAAUUGCCUUUGAUACUGUCUGUCUUGAGUUCGG
rnacentral:rRNA from 1 species